CAGGAUGGCAGUGAUUCUGGAGAAAAGAAACUAGACAAUGCGGAUAUGGCAGCUUUUGUCCAGAAUCUACUUGAACAGAUGCAAUCAAGGUUCCAAACAAUAUCUGACUCCAUCAUUACCAAGA